rnacentral:rRNA from 1 species
CAGUAGCCGCGGUAAUACAGAGGGUGCGAGCGUUAAUCGGAUUUACUGGGCGUAAAGCGUGCGUAGGCGGCUUCUUAAGUCGGAUGUGAAAUCCCUGAGCUUAACUUAGGAAUUGCAUUCGAUACUGGGAAGCUAGAGUAUGGGAGAGGAUGGUAGAAUUCCAGGUGUAGCGGUGAAAUGCGUAGAGAUCUUGAGGAAUACCGAUGGCGAAGGCAGCCAUCUGGCCUAAUACUGACGCUGAGGUACGAAAGCAUGGGGAGCAAACAGGAUUAGAUACCCCAGUAGUCCCUGUCUCUUAUAC